AGCAGCCGCGGUAAUUCCAGCUCCAAUAGCGUAUAUUAAAGUUGUUGCAGUUAAAAAGCUCGUAGUUGAACUUCGGGAUCAAGGGAUCGGUCAUGCUUUUGUAUGUACUGGUCUUAUUGGUUCUCACCUUCUAAAGAACCAUAAUGUCAUUCAUUUGAUGUUAUGGGGAAUUAGGACUGUUACCUUGAAAAAAUUAGAGUGUUUAAAGCAGGCUUACGCUUGAAUACAUUAGCAUGGAAUAAUGAAAUAGGACAUCCGAUUCUAUUUUGUUGGUUUCUAGGAUCGAUGUAAUGAUUAAUAGGGAUAGUUGGGGGCAUUAGUAUUCAAUUGUCAGAGGUGAAAUUCUUGGAUUUAUUGAAGGCUAACUACUGCGAAAGCAUUUGCCAAGGAUGUUUUCAUUAAUCAAGAACGAGAGUUAGGGGAUCGAAGACGAUCAGAUACCGUCGUAGUUACUUAACUAAUAAACUAUCGACCGUACGUAGGGUAGUCGGUAGUAGUAGUUAGUUUUUAAAUUUUUUUA
rnacentral:rRNA from 1 species